AGGCAUGGUGGCACGUACCUGUAGUCCCAGCAACUUGGGAGGCUGAGACGCGAGAAUCGCUCGAACCUGGGAGGUGAAGGUUGCAGUGAGCCGAGAUCGUGCCACUGCACCCCAGCCCGGGAGACAGGGCAAGACCCCCUCUUCAAAAAAAAAAAAAAAAAAAGAAUAAAGCAGGAUAAGGAGACAGUGACGGGCAGGGAACAGCGCUGCUUUAAAUAAGUUGGUCAGGGAAAGACACUCCAGUCAGAUGCCACUUGAGCAGAGAUCUGAGUGAAUUAACGACAUGAACUAGAGAAAGAAUAUUCCACGCCAAAGAGAACAGAGGCACAGUGGCCCAAGGCAGGCAGGAGUUUAGCAUAACUCAAGGGAGGGUCCAGAGGUCCUGCGGCUGGAGUGGAGUGAGCCGGAAAGAGGAAGGAAAGGUCACAUGAAGAGCUGGGGCCAGGUCCUGAUGGAUCCGUACCAGCAAAAUGACUCGCCUGAACCACUGAGAGGUGAUGGGACUUCAAGCCCAGAUCUUAAGAGAUCUAGAGCUUUUGCUUUCUCUCUGAGAACCCAACUGCCUUGUAAAGAAGUUCAGGCUGUCCAGCUGUAGACAGCAGCAACGUGGAGAAAGAAGCCUUGAAGGUUGAGUCCACAUGGAGGAAAAGAGAGGCAUCCCAGCUAAGAGCCAGCACCAGCGUGGCAAAGGAGGCCAUCUUGGAUGCUUCGGUCCCAGUUGAACUGUCCCAGCAGACACCAUAUAGGGCAGAGAUGAGCUGGCCAAAAUUCUAACUCGAAAAGCGUUGUGGUUUUAGGUCCCCAAGUGUUUUCUUCCUUUUUUUUUUUUUUUUUUUUAGGCAGAGUCUGGUUCUGUCGCCCAGGCUAGAGUGUGGUGACACAAUCUUGGCUUACUGCAACUUUGCCUCUUGGGUUCAAGUGAUUCUCCUGCCUCAGCCUCCCUAGUAGCUAGAAUUACAGGCGCCUGCCAGCAUGCCCGGCUAAUUUUUGUAUUUCAAAAUGUUGAAAUUAGCCACCAGCCUGGAUAAUUUCAGACCAGCUGUUGCCCAGGCUGGUCUCAAAAUCCUGAGCUCAGGUGAUCUGCCCACCUCAGCCUCCCAAAGUGUUGAGAUGGCAGGCAUGAGCCACUGUGCCUGGCCCGUGUUUCUUUUUUAUUGUGGCAAAAUGUACACAACAUAAAAUUAACCAUUUUAACCAUUUUUAAGUGUGUGGUUCAAUGGCAUGAAGUACAUUCACAUUGUUGUGCAACCAUCACCACCAUCCAUCUCCAGAACUUUUUCUUUUCUUUUUUCUUUUUUUUUGAGACGGAGUUUCACUCUUGUUGCCCAGGCUGGAGUGCAAUGGCGCGAUCUCGGCUCACCGCAACGUCUGCCUCUGGGGUUCAAGCGAUUCUCCUGCCUCAGCCUCCCUAGUAGCUGGAAUUACAGGUGCCUGCCACCACGCCCGGCUAAUUUUUGUAUUUCAAAAUGUUGAAAUUAGCCACCAUCUUGGCUAAUUUCAGACCAGCUGUUGCCCAGGCUGGUCUCGAAUUCCUGAGCUCAGGUGAUUCACCCACCUCGGCCUCCCAAAGUGUUGAGAUUACAGGCAUGAGCCACCAUGCCUGGCCCAUGAUUCUUUUUUAUUGUGGCAAAAUGUACACAACGUAAAAUUAACCAUUUUAACCAUUUUUAAGUGUGUGGUUCAAUGGCAUGAAGUACAUUCACAUUGUUGUGCAACCAUCACCACCAUCCAUCUCCAGAACUUUUUCAUGAUCUCACACUGACACUCUGUACCCACUCACCAAUAGUUCCCCUUUCCCUCCUCCUCCCAG
rnacentral:lncRNA from 1 species